rnacentral:lncRNA from 1 species
CUUCCCGGACACUGUACAAGACACCGGCUACGACGGUAGCACGUUGCUUCCCCCACGUUUUAAACACUGAUCCUGUGGCCAACCAAUGCGACUGUUACCAUUACCUCAUUACCUGUAAUUUCCAAUACCUUUCAAAAUUAGCCUGCAAUAAAUCACCUUC